AGUAGGGGAGCGUUCUGGGAGCAAAGAAGCCGUACCGAAAGGAGCGGUGGAGCGACCAGAAGUGAGAAUGCCGAUAUGAGUAGCGUAAAUCACGUGAGAACCGUGAUCGCCGUAUGCCUAAGGUUUCCGAUGCAAGGUCAAUCCGCAUCGGGUUAGUCGAGCCUAAGCCGAGGCAGAAAUGCGUAGGUGAUGGAUAAUCGGUCAACAUUCCGAUACCAGGAUACAGGAGCGAAGGAGAGACGUCAUAGGGUAGGUGAGCCAGACCGUUGGUAGAUCUGGUGCGAACGACGUAGAGGUUGAUGGUGUAGGCAAAACCGCACCUGACUCGAAAUCGAAGCGGGCCCCCAAACCUAAGUCACUGAGCCGUGUGGCCAAGAAAAUCUUCUAAGCGAUGAAUGUACCCUGUCCGUACCGCAAACCGACACUGGUAGGCGAGGAGAGUAUCCUCAGGCGAACGAGAGAACCUUCGUUAAGGAAUUAGGCAAAAUAUACCCGUAACUUAGGGAGAAGGGUAGCCUGCGUCCGGGAGACCGUUAGGUAGCUCGGAAGUAGGUCGCAGAUGAGAGGCUCUAGCGACUGGUUAACUAAACCACAGGUCUCUGCGAAGUCGUAAGACGACGUAUAGGGGCUGACACCUGCCCAGUGCUGGAAGGUUAAAGGGAGAGGUUAGGCGCAAGCCGAAGCUUUGAACUGAAGCCCCAGUGAACGGCGGCGGUAACUAUAACCGUCCUAAGGUAGCGAAAUUCCUUGUCAGGUAAGUUCUGACCCGCACGAAUGGUGUAACGACUGGAGCGCUGUCUCAACGAGGGACUCGGCGAAAUUGAAGUAGUGGUGAAGAUGCCAUUUACCCGCACCCGGACAAAAAGACCCCGUGGAGCUUUACUGUACCCUGGCAUUGCGCUAGGGCUUUGUCUGUGUAGUAUAGGUGGGAGGCUGUGAAACUGGAGCGCUAGCUUCGGUGGAGCCAUCAGUGAAAUACCACCCUGAUGAAGUCUUGGCCCUAACCGGCAUCCCUGAGCGGGAUACGAAACAGUGCCAGGCGGGCAGUUUGACUGGGGCGGUCGCCUCCUAAAAGGUAACGGAGGCGCCCAAAGGUUCCCUCAGGCUGAAUGGAAACCAGCCGCUGAGUGUAAAGGCACAAGGGAGCUUGACUGCAAGACCAACAAGUCGAGCAGGGACGAAAGUCGGGCUUAGUGAUCCCACGCAUCCGAGUGGAAGGGGCGUGGCUUAACGGAUAAAAGCUACCCCGGGGAUAACAGGCUGGUGAGGCCCAAGCGUCCACAGCGACGGCCUCGCUCGGCACCUCGAUGUCGGCUCGACGCAUCCUGGGGCUGUAUAAGGUCCCAAGGGUCGGCCUGUUCGGCCGUUAAAGCGUUACGUGAGCUGGGUUCAAACCGUCGUGAGACAGGUUGGUCUCUAUCCGGUGUGGGCGCAGGGGAUUUGAGAGGAGCUGUCCUUAGUACGAGAGGACCGGGAUGGACGCACCGCUGGUGUGCCAGUUGUUCCGCCAGGAGCAUCGCUGGGUAGCUACGUGCGGCAGGGAUAACCGCUGAAAGCAUCUAAGUGGGAAACCCGCCUCAAGAUGAGAUCCCCCUGAAGGCCGCCAGAAGACUACUGGUUUAAUAGGUGAGAGGUGUAAGCCCCGUAAAGGGUUAAGCUGACUCAUACUAAUGGCCGUUUGGCUUAC
rnacentral:rRNA from 1 species